rnacentral:lncRNA from 1 species
UAAUAGCUGCAGGGUCGAUCAACCAAGCUCUGCCUGAACCGCCUAGUUUUCGUCGAUUAGUUAAUGUUUCCAAACGGCUCUAGCCGCCUAAUUUUCUAGUUUUCAUCGAUUAAUAAGUGUUCCAAGUAGACUCGAUUCGUUAAUGUGGCCAAAACUUAUUUAUGCCUUUCAGUCAUGGAUGUACUUUGUUUUCCACCCCCAGCUAAUCUUAUGUAUUUAAUUGUAGUAUGUUAAUGUCCCUCCUUGUGAUUUGUGAAACUUUUUUGGACCAACGAGCUUUUGAACCAACAUGUGAAGAAGAAGAUAUAUAUAUCUUGGUCUAUUUGCUUGUCUUGAGUUUAUUGAAUUUGGAGCAUUUCUCUUGAUGACCAA